ensembl:misc_RNA Y_RNA Y RNA
GGCUGGUCCUUAGGUAGUGCGUUAUCAAUUGAUCAAAGUCAGUUACAGAUUGAACUCCUUGUUCUACUCUUUCCCCCUUCUCACUACUGCACUUGACUAGUCCAAA